rnacentral:rRNA from 1 species
AGUGAACGCUGGCGGUAGGCCUAACACAUGCAAGUCGAACGGCAGCACAGUAAGAGCUUGCUCUUACGGGUGGCGAGUGGCGGACGGGUGAGGAAUACAUCGGCAUCUACUUUUUCGUGGGGGAUAACGUAGGGAAACUUACGCUAAUACCGCAUACGACCUACGGGUGAAAGCAGGGGAUCUUCGGACCUUGCGCGAUUGAAUGAGCCGAUGUCGGAUUAGCUAGUUGGCGGGGUAAAGGCCCACCAAGGCGACGAUCCGUAGCUGGUCUGAGAGGAUGAUCGGCCACACUGGAACUGAGACACGGUCCAGACUCCUACGGGAGGCAGCAGUGGGGAAUAUUGGACAAUGGGCGCAAGCCUGAUCCAGCCAUACCGCGUGGGUGAAGAAGGCCUUCGGGUUGUAAAGCCCUUUUGUUGGGAAAGAAAAGCAGCAGGUUAAUACCCCGCUGUUCUGACGGUACCCAAAGAAUAAGCACCGGCUAACUUCGUG